rnacentral:rRNA from 1 species
AGCGUAGGCUGCGCGGUAAGUCAGAUGUGAAAUCCCGGGGCUCAACCCCGGAACUGCAUCCGAUACUGCCGUGCUAGAGGAUUGGAGAGGUAGCUGGAAUUCACGGUGUAGCAGUGAAAUGCGUAGAUAUCGUGAGGAACACCUAUGGCGAAAGCAAGCUACUGGACAACUCCUGACGCUGAGGCUCGAAGGCCAGGGUAGCGAAAG